ACAUACAUGCACACACACAUAUACAAACAACACAGUCCUACAGUGGUACCACUACGUUUUGUCGAAGUUUGCACAAGCUAUUAUAAAAGUACGAGUAUUUUGAUAAUGGACAACACAGGAGGACGGCGUCCUUCUCUGUUUUUGUGUGUGUGUGUGUGCAUGUGUGU